GACCUCUUGGCUCAGUGGUAGAGCAUCUGAUUCCAGCGACACGUGACUCUAGCACUGAGCCAUUAGUUAGUCAGCUUCCAGAAGGUCGUCCGUUCGAUCCGGGCAGAGGUCA